rnacentral:rRNA from 1 species
GAUUAACGCUGGCGGCAUGCCUAACACAUGCAAGUCGAAUGUCCCGAUUUAUCGGGACAUGGCGGACGGCUGAGUAACGCGUGGGUAUCUACCUCCGAGUCGAGCAUAACCCCGGGAAACCGGGGAUAAUUCUCGAUAGUCUCGCAAGAGUAAAGAUUUAUCGCUUGGAGAGGAGCCUGCGUCCGAUUAGCUUGUUGGUAAGGUAACGGCUUACCAAGGCUAUGAUCGGUAGGGGGCCUGAGAGGGUAACCCCCCAGACUGGGACUGAGACACGGCCCAG